AGAAAAUGUUUAUAAAAGGGUAAAGUAGGUAGUGAUGGGAGUAAGGAAAGAGAAGAGAAGUUCAGAGUGAGAGAGAGAUAGAUGUCGAACAAAAAGAAAAACGGUUUGGAUUGGGAAGAUUUACAGAGAGAGGGGAAAGAGAGAGCUGGUCUGGAGCACCCAAGAGUAUGGAGAGUGAGUGGGAGUGGGUCGAAGAGAGAAGAGGAAAUUGAGUCCGAUUCGUGGGUUUCUCCAGAAAUGAGUACCGUUGCGAAGAUAGCCGGCGUAGCAAGUGCAGGUAUGAUGUUAUUCAUGGGCAUCAAGAAGGCCUAUUCAGCCUACCAUGGCAAUGAACAAGAGGAGGAGGGGAAGACGAUGAAAAAGCCAGGGGAAGAUGGACGCAUGCUCCGCAGAGAUUUUGAAGAAAACCCUAAAGACUAUUUCCUUGAUCAUCGACGCCGACAAAAGCUCGAAAAAACUGUUAGAAUGAAUGAAACCAAAUGAAAAUUAGCAACAAGGUGGAUUAGGGUUGAGGAAGUGGUUUACCGGUUUAGCUCAGGAUUAAGUAAGUGCUUUGGUUUUUUGUGGUGUUGGUGUUUAUAUUUCCCUCUAGCACGAGGAUGGUGGUGUUUUUAUUUCAUGUUUUUCCCGAUCUUCUUCCUAAUGGUAUGAAGUUAUGAACCAAUGUAGUGGUGGGACCUUUAGUUUUCAUCUCUCUCUAAUGGAAAGUGUUUAUAUGUGUGUGAGGCCUUAAUCAAUCAAAUUAAUGGGGACCUCAAAAUA